GCCCGAGUGGCGGAAUUGGUAGACGCGGCGGAUUCAAAAUCCGUUGCCCUUUAAAGGCGUGUCGGUUCGAGUCCGACCUUGGGCACCA
rnacentral:tRNA from 1 species